rnacentral:rRNA from 1 species
UCUUCUGAUUGUAAAGUUCUUUUACUUAGGAAAAAAAGCUUGACAGGAAAUGGUUAAGCCUUGAUCGUACUAGGUGAAUAAGUGACAGCUAACUAUGUGCCAGCAGCUGCGGUAACACAUAGGUCACAAGCAUUAUCCGGAUUUAUUGGGCGUAAAGGAAGCGUAGGCGGACAGUCUGAUCCAUUGUUAAAUGCACUUGCUCAACAAGUGUAUGCAGUGGAGAUCUCCUGUCUAGAAUUAAUUAGGAGAAACUGGAAUUCAAUGUGUAGUGGUGGAAUACGUAGAUAUAUUGAGGAACACCAAAGGCGAAAGCAAGUUUCUAGGAUAUAAUUGACGCUGAGGCUUGAAAGCGUGGGGAGCAAAUGGGAUUAGAUACCCCAGUAGUCCACGCCGUAAACGAUGGGUAUUUGGUAUUUGGGCUGGACCUGAGUGCCGGAGCUAACGCGUUAAAUGCCCCGCCUGGGUAGUAUAUAUGCAAAUAUGAAACUCAAAGAAAUUGACGGGGAUCUGAACAAGUGGUGGAGCAUGUUGCUUAAUUCGAUAAUACACGAAAAACCUUACCAAGGCUUGUAAUCUUCUGCAAAAGUGUAGAAAUACAGUGGAGUAUAUCAGAAUGACAGGUGGUGCAUGGCUGUCGUCAGCUCGUGUCUUGAGAUGUUUGGUUAAGUCCCGUAACGAGCGCAACCCCUCUCAUUAGUUAAUUAGUUCUAAUGUGACUGAAUCGUAAGAUAUAGGAAGGAUGGGGCCAAGUCAAGUCAUCAUGCCCCUUAUGCCUUGGGCUGCAAACGUGCUACAAUGGUAGGUAC